rnacentral:rRNA from 1 species
CAGAAACUACAAAGGAAUUGACGGGGGCCCGCACAAGCAGCGGAGCAUGUGGUUUAAUUCGAAGCAACGCGAAGAACCUUACCAAGACUUGACAUCCCCUGACAGCUGUUGAAAGGCAGUGUCUCUUCGGAGCAGGGAGACAGGUGGUGCAUGGUUGUCGUCAGCUCGUGUCGUGAGAUGUUGGGUUAAGUCCCGCAACGAGCGCAACCCUUAUCCUUAGUUACCAGCACGUAAAGGUGGGGACUCUAGGGAGACCGCCGGGGACGACUCGGAGGAAGGUGGGGACGACGUCAAAUCAUCAUGCCCCUUAUGUCUUGGGCUACACACGUGCUACAAUGGCCGCAACAGAGGGAAGCGAGAGCGCAAGCUGGAGCAAAACCCUAAAAAGCGGUCCCAGUUCGGAUUGUGGGCUGCAACCCGCCCACAUGAAGUCGGAGUUGCUAGUAAUCGCGAAUCAGCAUGUCGCGGUGAAUGCGUUCCCGGGCCUU